rnacentral:rRNA from 1 species
GAUGAACGCUGGCGGCGUGCCUAAUACAUGCAAGUCGAGCGAACGGACGAGAAGCUUGCUUCUCUGAUGUUAGCGGCGGACGGGUGAGUAACACGUGGAUAACCUACCUAUAAGACUGGGAUAACUUCGGGAAACCGGAGCUAAUACCGGAUGAUAUUUUGAACCGCAUGGUUCAAAAGUGAAAGACGGUCUUGCUGUCACUUAUAGAUGGAUCCGCGCUGCAUUAGCUAGUUGGUAAGGUAACGGCUUACCAAGGCAACGAUGCAUAGCCGACCUGAGAGAGUGAUAGGCCACACUGGAACUGAGACAGGGUCAAGACGCCUACGGGAGGCAGCAGUAGGGAAUCUUACGCAAUGGGCGAAAGCCUGACGGAGCAACGCCGCGUGAGUGAUGAAGGUCUUCGGAUCGUAAAACUCUGUUAUUAGGGAAGAACAGAUGUGUAAGGAACUGUGCACAGCUUGACGGUACCUAAUCAGAAAGCCACGGCUAACUACGUG